GACGAACGCUGGCGGCGUGCUUAACACAUGCAAGUCGAACGGGCCUGUCUUCUUUUUUGGGGGGUGGGUUGAGUGGCGAACGGGUGAGUAUCACGUGAGUAACCUGCCCUUCGGUCCUGGAUAACCGCUUGAAAGGGCGGCUAAUACGGGGUGGUCCGGUUGGUCCGCAUGGGCUGGUCGGGAUAGAUUCACUGUUUUUGGUGUUUCGGCGGGGGAUGGGCUCGCGGCCUAUCAGCUUGUUGGUGGGGUGAUGGCCUACCAAGGCGGUGACGGGUAGCCGGCCUGAGAGGGUGGGCGGCCACACUGUGACUGAGAUACGGCCCAGACUCCUGCGGGAGGCAGCAGUGGGGGGUAUUGCACAAUGGGCGGAAGCCUGAUGCAGCGACGUCGCGUGAGGGAUGGAGGCCUUCGGGUUGUGAACCUCUGUUUCCGGUGGUGAAGGCCCUGUCCGUGUGGUGGGGUUGACGGUAGCCGGGGAUGAAGCGCCGGCUAACUACGUG
rnacentral:rRNA from 1 species